rnacentral:rRNA from 1 species
CCCUUAGACGUUCUGGGCCGCACGCGCGCUACACUGACACAGGCAACGAGCUUUCCUUUACCGAAAGGUAUGGGUAAUCUUUUGAAACUGUGUCGUGCUGGGGAUAGAUCCUUGCAAUUUUUGAUCUUAAACGAGGAAUUCCCAGUAAGCGCGAGUCAUCAACUCGCGUUGAUUACGUCCCUGCCCUUUGUACACACCGCCCGUCGCUACUACCGAUUGAAUGGCUUAGUGAGGCCUCAGGAUCCGCGCUUAAUGUGUGGAGAAUUUGGACAAACUACGUCAUUUAGAGGAAGUAAAAGUCGUAACA